rnacentral:lncRNA from 1 species
ACUCCAGGAAAAGCGCAGUGCUGAUACUGAAUCAUCAGGAUCCUAAAAGGAGCUUGCCUGAAUGACAGAAUAAGUCUUAUUUUUAUAGCUUUUCCAUCCUAAAAGGAAGAUGUGGCAAAAUGAUUUAAUUACUGAUUUACCAAAGUCUAGACUCUGGCUUGGCAGAAAGACAUAAAAUAAUGCAAAAUGAGACCGAUUUUCUUAUCUGUUACAUAAAGGUAGACCAAGGAUCUAUACAUGUGUAUGACCAAACACAGAUUAAAAACAACAGAUGAAGAGGAAGCCAUUAAGUGACAGUCAGCCUCUAAGCUCAGGGGACACGGGGACUCUUAAGUUUACGCUCCCUGUAAAUGUCCACCAUGCUCUCUGGCACAGGGCAAACCUCAGUGUUAUCAAUCUAUGAGAAUCUUGCUUAUAAUUA